CUCUGUGUGCUACGUGGGGGUUGGAGCACUUGCUGACAAGCCUUGCAACCACCAUUGACAGGAUGUCCUCCACCUUUUCAAUCUGAUUUGCUCUUUGCCAUGCAGACCUGUGGAUGAAGAGCCAGAGUCCUCCAAGGUGAAGCUGGACUGAAUAUUUCUGUCCAUAAGACUAUUAGAAUCCCCCAAAGUGGGAUACCAGUGAGGACCUCACCAGCAGCUGCUGUCUCUCCAAUGCAGGUAGAUGAGCCUCAGAAAUAACCGCUGCUUGUGGUUUGCUGUGUAUUCCUCUAGAUGUUUUUCUUUACACAUAUUAGUGAGUGUGGAGAGAGAGUGUGUAUGUGUUCUGUAAAUUUGAUUACACUGCGCAUUUAUUCCGAAAUCCAUUUCACUUUACCGUUGGAACGUAAGCUCUGUGAGGGCAGAGACUUUUGUUUAUUGCACUUGCUGUUAGAGCUCUUGUCUGUAACAGUGGCUGGCACAUGGUCACAUCAUAGUAGAAGCUCAAUAAAUAUUUGUUGAAUGAAUGAAAAAAUACGUCCAAGACAUCUUCAGAUUU
rnacentral:lncRNA from 10 species